GGGGCCCAACUCUGGUGUCCGUGAUGGUGCAGCAAGUGGACCCAAGGCUUCCUGAGAUGACCCAUCCAGUCUCAAGGUACUCUCAAGUUGGGAGAAGUGUGAAGGUUAAUACAGAGAAACCCCACAAAAAAAGGAUCGUGAAGCCAGAAGGGGGAGCUUGCUCGCUACACCUCUUGGUCAAGAAUCACCAAUCGCUGACCCCACAGAGGAAUCAUCAACAGUACAGGAUCCUCAAAUACAGGCCCCAACAGAGAAUGCUGGGAGGAGGCAAGAGCAGGUGGAAGAAGCCUUCGCUCACCCUGGAGAAUUCCUUUCAACAUUCCCGUCCUGAAAUGAGUCUGCUUUUUGGAGACCUGUGUAAACAGUGGUGGCAUCAUCCUACUUCCCUCAUUCACAAUGAGGAAAGGAGUGUGGGAUGGAAGUUGUGCAGACUGUGUCUCAGCUGGCUCCCCCCACCAGCAGGAAAUCCAAAACCGCAUGCGCGGCCUGUGACGUCGCUUGCUCCCCCCACCAGCAGGAAAUCCCAAGGACGCAUGUGCAGCCUGUGACUUCGCUUGUUCCCCCCAACCAGCAGGAAAUCCCAAAGACGCAUGCGCAGCCUGUGACGUCGCUUGCUCCCCCCACCAGCAGGAAAUCACAAAGAUGCAUGUGCAGUGUGUUGCAUCCCGGCCAGCCAGCUUUGCAGGCCUCACGGCAGUGCAUGCGUUGAACAGCUAACUGUGCUGGCCGAGUUCAGCUUCACUGUGACGAUGAGCUCAAGGAGGAAAACGGGGGAAUAUGGUGAGAAAACAUGACUCUUCUCCUGGUUCCUGAUUGUGGGUUUUCUCCCUGCCAAGAGCCCUCAUCAUGGAUUUCCCUUUUCUUGCAACAGCGCCCACACAUCUUGCUAGAAACGUAGCCCCCUGGUGCCCCUUGUUUCUGUUCGCAGGUAUCCCUGCAUUGCUCUGGUCCUGCCUUCAGCUUCGGGCUCAGUCGGUUGGGUUUGUGCUCUGAAUAUGAAGGGAAAACUGACCU